GACGAACGCUGGCGGCGUGCCUAAUACAUGCAAGUCGAACGCAGUGGGGACGGGUGCGUAACACGUGGGUAACCUCCCAUCAGAGGGGAUAACACUUGGAAACAGGUGCUAAACCGAUACUGAUGGAUGGACCCGCUGUGCAUUAGCUAGUGGGUGAGGUAACGGCUCACCAAGGCCACGAUGCAUAGCCGACCUGAGAGGUUGAUCGGCCACCCUGGGGAGGAGAAAAGGUCCAGACUCCUAGGGGAGGCAGCAGUAGGGAAUCGUCAGCAAUGGACGAAAGUCUGACCGAGCAACGCCGCGUGAGUGAAGAAGGUUUUCGGGGCGGAAAACUCUGUUGUUAGAGAAGCGGUAGCUAACCAGAAAGCCACGGCUAACUACGUGCCAGCAGCCGCGGUAAUUC
rnacentral:rRNA from 1 species